rnacentral:misc_RNA from 1 species
GAAAUGCGAUAAUUAAUGUGAAUUGCAGAAUUCAGUGAAUCAUCGAGUCUUUGAACGCACAUUGCGCCCCCUGGUAUUCCGGGGGGCAUGCCUGUCCGAGCGUCAUUGCUGCCCUCAAGCACGGCUUGUGUGUUGGGCUUCCGUCCCUGGCAACGGGGACGGGCCCAAAAGGCAGUGGCGGCACCAUGUCUGGUCCUCGAGCGUAUGGGGCUUUGUCACCCGCUCCCGUAGGUCCAGCUGGCAGCUAGCCUCGCAACCAAUCUUUCUAACCAGGUUGACCUCGGAUCAGGUAGGGAUACCCGCUGAACUUAAGC